UGUUUCAGAUGGUAAAGAAUCUGCCUCCAAAGCAGGAGACCCAGGUUCUAAUCCUGG
rfam:Ovis aries breed Texel chromosome 7, whole genome shotgun sequence.